GACUGGUCGCUUCAAUGGUCAGUUCACAGACCUACGCUAUCGGCGGCGCCAUCCGCAGGAUGGGUGAGUCUGAUGACUCCAUCCUGAGGCUGGCGAAGAAUGACUCCGUUGUUGCAAAGAACUUCUAAGUGACUCUGGAUCUGUGGAACUUGUAAAAUAAAAC